UGGCCGCCUUACCCACGGAUAUGAGUAAUGUCCUUCCUCGACUCGAUUUUCUUUCGCUCUGGUGCCCUAAUCUGCGUUGCCUCUCGAGCCUUCCCUCCAGUCUACGUUUCUUAGCUUUGCGCGAGUACAAGUCGGGUGGUUCCAUGGAGGGUGAGGAUCUAUCAAAUUUGAAGACACUAAGAUCUCUUGACAUCUAUGGCUGUGCAUUCUCAGAGAUUCGAGGCCUUGAUCGUUUGGAGAACCUAGAACAAUUGCACCUUAUAAUAUUUGAUUGUGGUAAUCUGGUUGAGAUUCAAGGCGGACUCCCACCAUCUUUAUAUAAUUGAGAUUCAGGAAUGUGGAUCUUUACAGAAUUUGCCUGAUCUGUCAAGCUUGAAGGAACUGCGAGAAGUUUACAUAAGGGGUUGCUGCAAAUUAAAUGUGGAGGCAAUUUCUUCGUUUUGCUCGGAGAAGGGGGUCAAAUUUAAGGGAGACAAGACGAAUCAGAGGGAGAAGACGGCGCAUCUGGAUGCGAAUUCGGAUAUGGAUCUGAGAGAGAAGACCGACAGAUAAGUGCACGUCGCUCUUGAAAUCCUCUUGAUCCCUUACCACAAAUCGUUCUCUUGUGCGCGAACUUCAAACGAAUUGAGGUAAGUCCUUUCUUCUGGCAACCAAUAUUUUCCUUUUUUUGCAAUCGAUCUCUUUCACGGAUAUUAACUGGGAAGCCUCACAUGCACUUUUUAAUGACCUUUUCGCGAGCUGACAUCUGUAAAUCUGAUGAAGGCAUUGAAAUUAUGGUACCUCCAUUUGGGUUUGGUUUCUCCUUGGUUUUAUGUUUCCUAGCUGGAGUUAUGCAUCUCGAUUGCAUCGUUUUUAUUUGAUACAUAACGAAUUAUUAGAGAUCUUUGUCGAUUUGCUGUUUCCCAUAUAUUGAAGUCGAUAACCUCGCUUCGCAUUUGAGAUGACUUUGUUAUGCUGCAAACAAUUAGAUGGAAUGUGUGCUGGAAGGUCAUAUAAGUAUGAUUCUCAUCUUGUCAAUUUACAGUAUAACCAACUCAUUGUUGCAACUAUGAAGUAGACAGACCCUCUUUGCUAAUAUGCUUAUGUUCAGAUAUUUUCCUGGAAAGGUGUGCUUCUUCUUACUGGGAUUUGCAAAUGCUAGGGAGAAGUUAUAAAAUGAAGAAAGAUGAAUUUCACUUGGGUAGCGGCGUCAAUAGUUGGUGCAGCAUAAUUUCCAUCUGUGACAGGGGAGAACUAUUUAGCUUCUCCAAGGGAGCUGUGGCUAAUAAGGUAGUUGUACGAAUGAAGACCAAAUAAAGGAAAAUGAAGAUGACAUUCAAAGUGAAGUUUUUGUUCACUUUUUUGUGAGUUGAGCCUAGAAAUCUGAAGAAGGUAUCAAAAUUAUGGUACCUCCAUACAACCAGAGGGUUCUUAAUUUUGUACAAAUUUUAUUUUCCAGGAAAGGGUGAGGUUCUUAGUGGGAUUUCCAAAUGUUAUGGAGAAGUUGUAAAAUGAAGAAAGAGGAUUUUGCACUUGGGCAACAAAGCUUCCAUCUGUGACAGGAGAGGAGAACUAUCUAGCUUCUCCAAAGGAGUUGUGGCUAAUUGGGCGGCUGUAUAGAUGGAGACCAAAGAAAGGCAGAUGAUGGAUGAAAUUUGAUGUUGACCGUGUUCCCUCUCACAAUCUCGGGGUGAAUAACUCAUCUCCAAUAUCCUCAACAGGAAAUUGACAGAAAUAAGUAAUGUUGAUGAAGGGAUCAAGACAAUUAAAGAUAGGCUUUUUAGUAAAGGAGUUCUCAUCCUUUUUGAUGAUGUUGACCAGAAGAAUUAAUUGAAUGCACUCAUGGGACAUCAGUGAUAUUCGAGCAUUACUGAUUCUUCAAUGCUGAAUAUCAAGCACAAACGGAUCUUGAAAUUCUCUGUACUUUUUGUUUGUCAUUGAAUAUUAGUGCUUUUUGUUGAUCGAAGGCACUGCCAUCCUUAAUGUGAGUUGAUCGGGUUGAAAUACUUUGCAGAAAGGGACAUGUGCGAUCCCUCUUAUCUGGUCCAAAUGAUGCAAUGUCUGGCAUCGCUUAGAAGAUACAACCAUUUCUUGAAAAAUUUAGAAGCCAUGCUCAGGAGAGGAGUUCAUUUUCCAAUAAGAAGUGCAUGUUGUACUUGAAAGGUCCUGCAUCCACAACCAAGUCUAUUGUCAAGGAAGAUUUGAAAGUUAAACAAAUUUCUUGUUGACCUAUGUCAUCUCACCAGAUAUUGAUUGUUGUCUUUCUUGGGAUCGUUAUCUGUUAUACAUAAAUUACAAUCACACUUUGGCAAGUUGACUUGAAAGCUAUUGUGAUUGUACAUAUAGUUAUCACUAGUUGUUUUUGCAACUGUUUCCUAUCUUUAAGAUGGAUUGCUGUAAGCUGCUCAUGAAAAGGGACCAUGGUUUCUUUUGAUCAAUUUCAUGAGUUUGAUUUGGUUUAAAUAUAUUACUUUGUGACGGUUUUGGUUGGCUAA